GACGAACGCUGGCGGCGUGCUUAACACAUGCAAGUCGAACGGUGAAGCGCCUGCCUUUUUGGUGGGUGUGGAUGAGUGGCGAACGGGUGAGUAACACGUGAGUAACCUGCCCCCUUCUUCUGGAUAACCGCAUGAAAGUGUGGCUAAUACGGGAUAUUCUGGGUCUGUCGCAUGAUGGGUCUGGGAAAGAUAUUGUUUCGGUGGGGGAUGGGCUCGCGGCCUAUCAGCUUGUUGGGGGGGUGAUGGCCUACCAAGGCGGUGACGGGUAGCCGGCCUGAGAGGGUGGACGGCCACACUGGUACUGAGACACGGCCCAGACUACUACGGGAGGCAGCAGUGGGGAAUAUUGCACAAUGGGCGCAAGCCUGAUGCAGCGACGCCGCGUGAGGGAUGGAGGCCUUCGGGUUGUGAACCUCUUUCGCCAGUGAAGCAGGCCUGCCUCGUUUGUGGGUGGGUUGACGGUAGCUGGAGAAGAAGCGCCGGCUAACUACGUG
rnacentral:rRNA from 1 species